UGUUAUAUGCUUAAACGAUAAGUCCAAGGAAUAUGUGAUUGGGAGAAUACAAUCUAAAGAAGUUAGAUUCAUGAGACCAUUCUUUCGUAGACACAUCCUAAAUGUUCCUGAUCAUAGGAUUGCCAUUUGGGCAUUGACAGUCCGUUAAGAUCAGUACGUGCUGUGUCUUCUCCCAGGGAGAGUGACUAGUCUCGAGUCAUUGGUGUGUGUGACAUCAAGACAGGUACGUAGGUGCUCAAUAGAGAAUGAGUUCACUGAACACGAUCAACGAAGAGUUCUCAUAUUCA
rnacentral:lncRNA from 1 species